GGGUGGGAACUCCAGGGAGACUGCCGGUGAUAAACCGGAGGAAGGUGGGGACGACGUCAAGUCAUCAUGGCCCUUACGAGUAGGGCUACACACGUGCUACAAUGGCGUAUACAGAGGGCUGCCAACUUGCGAGAGUGAGCGAAUCCCAGAAAGUACGUCGUAGUCCGGAUUGGAGUCUGCAACUCGACUCCAUGAAGUCGGAAUCGCUAGUAAUCGUGAAUCAGAAUGUCACGGUGAAUACGUUCCCGGGCCUUGUACACACCGCCCGUCACACCAUGGGAGUGGGCUGCACCAGAAGUAGAUAGCUUAACCUUCGGGAGGGCGUUUACCACGGUGUGGUUCAUGACUGGGGUGAAGUCGUAACAAGGUAGCCCUAGGGGAACCUGGGGCUGGAUCACCUCCUUACCU
rnacentral:rRNA from 1 species